rnacentral:misc_RNA from 1 species
GGAUUGUCUAGCUUGGAUCAAGAAGUUGUCACACAACUGUUUGAAGCAGGGUGGAUUCAAGUUUGUGUUAUAAGCAGCUCGAUGUGUUGGGGUGUUCCACUGACGGCCCAUUUGGUAGUAGUAAUGGGAACACAAUAUUAUGAUGGAAGAGAAAAUGCUCACACCGACUACCCUGUUACUGAUUUGAUGCAGAUGAUGGGCCAUGCCAGUC